CGUGCCUCCUUAGCGAGCGAAUGCAGCCGCCCCUGCUUAGGUUUUCCGCCUUGCGGCGCCGCCGCUGUCCAGCUAGUGGCCACCACCCCACGUCGUCCUCCUCGCCGCACACGACGCUGGAUGGCUUGCCUUCGACACCGAAGGGGUAUGUUCCUGUUCGCCGCUGCGCCGGACGCCGCCGUUCGUCGCUCCCGUGAUUCCUCGUCGAGUAUGCCACUGUCCCCGGCAAGUUCAGGAGUCAUAAAAAAAUGCUGGAGCUGGGGGCAAGAAUGCUAUAACGGGCAGCAAAUGAGGUGUACACAGCUGGGCAGGGGUGGCGGAUCAAUGUGGCGAGGCUCCCUGGAUGAUCGGCUACGACAUCUCCAUCUUCUGCUGCUGUUUUUAGUCUUUUGUGUCUGUUAGUUACUAGCUUUUAUGUCGAUGUCUCUGUUUGGUGUAUGGUGGACUUUGUUUGCGCUGGGCCUGGCUGGUUCUCAGAGCCCUGGGUGGAUGCGGCCUGUGUUGGCCCUUUUGGUCGGUUAAUUGUCGUGCUGAUAGUUUAGACCUGUUAUAUACUAUCUUUUCUUCUGAA